rnacentral:rRNA from 1 species
CCCUUAGAUGUUCUGGGCUGCACGCGCGCUACACUGAUACCUUCAGCGAGUCCACCACCUUGCCUGGGAGGGUGGGGUAACCUCUGGAAAGUGCAUCGUGAUGGGGAUCGAUUAUUGUAAUUAUUAAUCUUCAACGAGGAAUUCCUAGUAAGCAUGUGUCAUCAGCCCGUGCUGAUUACGUCCCUGCCCUUUGUACACACCGCCCGUCGCUCCUACCGAUUGAGUGAUCCGGUGAGGCUCUGGGACCUGGACGGAAAGAGCGUUUCGCUUGUUCUGUUUGGGAAACUUGGUCGAACCUUAUCAUUUAGAGGAAGGAGAAGUCGUAACA